UGUCGGAGUUGGGCGGGGUGCGGGCCGCGGGAACUUCCUGUAUUGACCCAGGAGCACAGCCUGGCCAGAAGUUUUGAACUAGACUUGUGUGUGUCCUGGGUUCCCGUCCUUUCUCCUGCUUCCCUGCGACCUCCAGCCCUGAGAGCAUCAGUUUCCUCAUCAGACAGCUGGCCACCUACCAGGUUCAAGUACGACGUGCCCGGGUUCAUGUUUUCGGCAUUCAUCCUGUCUGGCGUGGUCCGACCUUCCUGUGCCUGCGACCUGGUGUCUCCCAUUAAUCUGAGGAAAUGCUUCGUUAUGAUGGUUCCCAGUGUGUUUUGGGUUCCUUUUGCCCCUCGCUUGUCCUCCUGGCGUUCCCAUCACAGCCUGUGGAUGUGACGGGUCGCACCGAUCUUCAGAUGAGGGGCCAGCUUCCCUUGUGCACCUGGGACGCAUCCCACUGGCUCACGUAAUGCUGGCAUCGUGGGAUGAAUGUGGACGUAUUUCCUCUACUUCUGUCCUCUGAGAGACCGCAGGGAAUCGGUGUCAUUUGUUCUGUAAAGGGUUUGGUGGAAUUUCCCAGCGAACCUAUCUCAGACUGCUGCCUUCUGAUUUGGAAAGUUGUUAAUUAUUGAUUCAGUAGCUUUAAUAUAUGGGGCAAAGGUAGGUUUACAGUUGUCGUAUGGAAAAUAAUACAAUAGCUAAUAAUAACACAAGAAUAAACUCUG